rnacentral:piRNA from 1 species
UAUGUAAAAGAUUUAAGGAGAACGGUCU